rnacentral:rRNA from 1 species
UACAGAGGGUGCAAGCGUUGUCCGGAAUUACUGGGCGUAAAGGGCGCGUAGGCGGCUCGAUAAGUAGGAGGUGAAAUCCCGCGGCUCAACCGCGGUGCUGCCUUCUAGACUGUCGGACUUGAGCAUGGUAGAGGCAGAUGGAAUUCCCGGUGUAGCGGUGGAAUGCGUAGAGAUCGGGAAGAACACCAGUGGCGAAGGCGGUCUGCUGGGCCAUUGCUGACGCUGAGGCGCGAUAGCGUGGGGAGCAAACAGG